rnacentral:rRNA from 1 species
UACGGAGGGGGCUAGCGUUGUUCGGAAUUACUGGGCGUAAAGCGCGCGUAGGCGGCUUUGUAAGUUAGAGGUGAAAGCCCAGAGCUCAACUCCGGAAUUGCCUUUAAGACUGCAUCGCUAGAAUCAUGGAGAGGUUAGUGGAAUUCCGAGUGUAGAGGUGAAAUUCGUAGAUAUUCGGAAGAACACCAGUGGCGAAGGCGACUAACUGGACAUGUAUUGACGCUGAGGUGCGAAAGCGUGGGGAGCAAACAGG